AGUUAGUUUAAAUAUGCUUAUAAUAUAUUUUUAGGAAUACUACUUGGCACAUCCUAAAAAUCGAAAAUUACCAUCAACAGUUAAGGAAUAAGUAAAAGUGAUGCUACAAAUGAAAGAAAGACCUUCAAAAUAAAAGAGCAUCAUAAAGAGAUCUGAAUGGUAACUCUCUCGAAAAGUUACUCUAAUUAUUAAAAGAACAUGAUUGCUUAACAGCUCUUCAUAAGGAUGACAAAAAAAAGUUCAAAGGAGUUGGUUGUAGUCUGGGCCAGUUGUAAAUGACAAGACAAGACCAAGAUUCAGUUUUUUUCUAAACACUUUUUGACAGGAAAAUCUUUUAACCUUCAUAUUUUUGAUGCUCAACCUCAGCUUACUAUUAUAAAAAAUUGAAAAAAAAAACAAUACGCAUUUUAACUCCUGCAGAAAAUUUUAGUGCAAAAUAGAUAGUGAUUGAAAUAUGAAUGAAGAUCCAAUAUUGGAGAAUAGUUAAAUUAAUGACUCUGAACUUCAGCACCUUUAAUGUACAACUAUUUCUGAAGAACUCAUAAAGAGUUUAUAGGAGUAAACUAUGAAAAUUUGAACGAAUUAUUGAAAAUUUUAAGUGUAACCAGUACAUAGUUGGUUAGUAGUGAAGACCGUGAGGGUGGAAGACGCAUUUGUUAAAACAUUACUCUUGCUUCUUCUUUAGAUUAAUCAUGAUUUUUAAAUUAAAAAGUGCACUAUUAUUUUACUCAGCUGUAUUGUUUACGAUUAGACUUAUCCGAAGUUUAGGUACAAAUGUAGAAUUUACAGAAUUAAUUAUAUUUUUAAAUGUUUAAUUUAAAUUUUGAUAGU